rnacentral:rRNA from 1 species
GACGAACGCUGGCGGCGUGCCUAAUACAUGCAAGUCGAGCGGACAGAUGGGAGCUUGCUCCCUGAAGUCAGCGGCGGACGGGUGAGUAACACGUGGGCAACCUGCCUGUAAGACUGGGAUAACUUCGGGAAACCGGAGCUAAUACCGGAUACGUUCUUUUCUCGCAUGAGAGAAGAUGGAAAGAUGGUUUCGGCUAUCACUUACAGAUGGGCCCGCGGCGCAUUAGCUAGUUGGUGAGGUAAUGGCUCACCAAGGCAACGAUGCGUAGGCGAGCUGAGAGGGCGAUCGGCCACACUGUGACUGGGACACGGCCCAGACUCCUACGGGAGGCAGCAGUAGGGAAUCUUCCGCAAUGGCCGAAAGUCUGACGGAGCAACGCCGCGUGAACGAUGAAGGCCUUCGGGUCGUAAAGUUCUGUUGUUAGGGAAGAACAAGUACCAGAGUAACUGCUGGUACCUUGACGGUACCUAACCAGAAAGCCACGGCUAACUACGUGCCAGCCGCCGCAGUAACAC